GAACUGAUUAGAAGCUUGCUUCUAUGACGUUAGCGGCGGACGGGUGAGUAACACGUGGGCAACCUGCCUGUAAGACUGGGAUAACUUCGGGAAACCGAAGCUAAUACCGGAUAGGAUCUUCUCCUUCAUGGGAGAUGAUUGAAAGAUGGUUUCGGCUAUCACUUACAGAUGGGCCCGCGGUGCAUUAGCUAGUUGGUGAGGUAACGGCUCACCAAGGCAACGAUGCAUAGCCGACCUGAGAGGGUGAUCGGCCACACUGGGACUGAGACACGGCCCAGACUCCUACGGGAGGCAGCAGUAGGGAAUCUUCCGCAAUGGACGAAAGUCUGACGGAGCAACGCCGCGUGAGUGAUGAAGGCUUUCGGGUCGUAAAACUCUGUUGUUAGGGAAGAACAAGUACGAGAGUAACUGCUCGUACCUUGACGGUACCUAACCAGAAAGCCACGGCUAACUACGUGCCAGCAGCCGCGGUAAUACGUAGGUGGCAAGCGUUAUCCGGAAUUAUUGGGCGUAAAGCGCGCGCAGGCGGUUUCUUAAGUCUGAUGUGAAAGCCCACGGCUCAACCGUGGAGGGUCAUUGGAAACUGGGGAACUUGAGUGCAGAAGAGAAAAGCGGAAUUCCACGUGUAGCGGUGAAAUGCGUAGAGAUGUGGAGGAACACCAGUGGCGAAGGCGGCUUUUUGGUCUGUAACU
rnacentral:rRNA from 2 species